CCUCUCUCCACGUCCACGGCGCCGAGUCUCGCCACGGUGGCGCAGGCGCCAGGGAGGUUCCCCGGCUUUGCCGCGCGGAGGAAGUCCCGGUUACGCAGAGCGCGCUGGGGCAGGGCUGACCUUCCCCUUUCUCUACUUCACUGGCCUCCUCCAGACGUGGUGGUUGCGCCCUUUCGGCCUCGCUUUCCGUUUUUUGGCUUCAUCCCCUAGAUCUGCAAACAGUUCCUCGUGUUUCUUCCGUUAGCCGGGAAACGCGAACUGCAGCGUUUGGGACCCGGGUUUGCGCGUGUGGAAAGCAAAAGGGGUUACUCUGCUGGAGUUCGACAUUGCAAAUAAAGGUCUUUAUCCCCGGCGGUUCUACAAAAUUAGUUCUGCAGGGAUUCUGGUUGAAAGAAGCGUUAAAGUGGGCCUUGUAGGAGUCAGCAAUAAUCCAAUUUUACAUGGGUGCAGGUGGCUGCCUGUGUCUAGCGCUUUCACACAUCUCAUAUCUUCAUCCACGCCGUGGGUAUUUUUUUUCCACGGUGUGUUUCUGUUGCUGCCUCCAGUAUAUUGCUUAAUCAUCCUACCUGGUAAUUAUUUAUGCAUUUUUCUCCUACUCUCGACUCAGCUCCUAGGGAAUAAAAACACAUUAACUUAUCUUUGUGCCCACAGCACCCACCAAGUAUUUCCAUCACGUAAUACUGCCUCUAGAAAGGCAGGAGGAGAAGCAGUCACGCUAAGGAUCUAGGCAAGCCAGAUCUUUUGUCCGGUUUUAGGAGGUGGCCAGCCCUUACUUAUUCCACAAGUGUUUUUCCAGAAACUCAGACUUGAUAUUGCCUCAAGUCCAAGGCAGUGUGCUUCCCCCACUCACAUAUCACUAAUAGUAGCUAACAUUUGUUCAGAUCCCUGUAUGUACUCUGCCACUGUUUUAAAUGUUACACCCGGGUUACCUCAUUUAAUCCUUACAACUGCCCUGUGAGGUAGGUACUAUUAUUAUCUCUACUUUGUAGAUGGGAUUCACCGAGGCACAGACGGUUAAAAAACCUAGCCCAAAUAACACAAAUAAACAGCAGAGCAUGCAGUGCUAGAGUCUGCAUUCUUAACAAUUGCUAUAUUCUCCCUCUCCGUGAAUGUGGGCUGAGAUGCUGAAACAGGCAUGUGCUGUGGGGGAGAAAAAGCUUUGUCCAACCAAGUGCUUUCUAAUGUCCAGAUGACAUAGAGCUAGGAUUUCCUAAUGUCUUUUUUCCCCUAUUUUUCUCUCCAUUUCAGGGUUGAGUUUGUGCAUCGAUUGUGAACACAACAGGCAGCAGGCUAUAAUGGUGGUCCUGGCUGGAGUAGUUUUCACAGACUUCAGUAAUCUGUGGAGAUGAACGGGCAGUUCUCUGUAGUUUUCACAGAUCACUGCCAGUUCGUUUUGAGGCCUUCAGGAGUGAAGACCUGGCUCAUCAUCACUCUUUGUUGUUUUGUUAAAUUUAUUUACACCCUACUUUAUUCCAGAGGAAAGGAUUUAACGUAGUUUACAUAAAUGUGUACAUCAGGGUAAAUUAAAAAUAAGUACAGAGAAAAAUAGGACAAAAGAAAACCGUGAGUGUGAAAGAUAAGAUUAAGCCAGCAGUUUUGUAUGCAAAAUGCAUGGUGUAAGGUCCUAUUGGUUUGCUGGAGGUAGGCCACACAUAUGACUCUCAGUUUUCUAGCAACCAAGAAAAAGAUCAGUUGCAAUCGGAGUAGGUGUUUUGGCUAAGCUGGAACUAGGACUUGAAUAUAGCAGCUUGUAGAGUUAUACCACUUGCCCAAAUCUCUUCCAUGAGCCUCUUUAAGUGUAACAGAAUGCCUGGGAGCACGUAAAUGCUCCUACUUAGAUGCCUACUUAGCCUCUAAUUUUCAUGGGGCCCAUGAAUCCCAUGAAAAAGAACUUUGAACCCUGUCCACAAUUAGAGUUCAGGUAUACGCAGACAUGUUUAAAGACAAGGGACACCCAAAGGAAAGAUUGCACAGAGAGAAAGUGAGCAUCCGAGAGAAAAUCACCACAAGUGAGGCAGAGGGAGGCCGGUCUCAGCAGAGUUUUGGAGGUCGUGAGAAGAAGAGGUAGGAGAUAGGAGAGUGGUUCCGAGUACUUGCCUGCUGAUGUUACCUUCUCCACCCCCACCAGGUUUUCCAGUGCCUGGAGUCUUGGGCAGGAAUGGGCCACUGUAAGAAAGAGCUUUAUCACUAGGGCCUCAGCCAACUUUUCUGUGGGAUAUCCCUCCAAAAUAAUUAAGAGUUCAGAAUGCUUCAGAUUUUGAAGUGAAACUGGUACAUAUAUUAAGUGUUACUUAAUAACCCGAUAGUUUCUAGGGCAGCUCACCAUAAUCCCAAGUAUUAGCCACCACCCUCACCCCCUUCAGAGUAAAAUGUGUUUCCUGAAGGAAGUUGGGAAAAUGAAGAAAAAAAAUACAAAAAUCACCUAUAAUCUUACCAGUCAUAGAUGGCAGUUUUCCUGUCUUAUUUCUGAAUAAUGGUUGUUAAACAUUUGCCAGCACACCAUAAGGCUUAGGGAGGCAUCUGGGUCAUGCAUGUUAAUAUCCUUGGGUAAUUCCAGAAAUCUCUAUGAAGGGAAACUCCUGUUAUUUAUCUAGACUUCCUGAUUGCAAGGGGUUUGGGCAUCAUGAUUUAGGGGUCUUAAUAAAAUUAUUAUUUUAUUUUUACUAAUAGAUAAUGUCUGUGCCUAUCAGAUAAAGGCAAACCAGUGCUCAGAGGAACCCAACCAUCUCUGAAUUGAGACCAGAGAGCUGUCUCUAUGGAUAGUCCUUAGAGAAGGCAUUUCGGAACACAGUAAACAGCAGCCUGGUGACUCCGAUUACAGGGCCAGUUGCCUUUGUUACAAUAAAAGCAAGUCAUCUACACAGGCUGAAGGGAAGUGGCGUGAACAUGGCUCAGU
rnacentral:lncRNA from 1 species